rnacentral:rRNA from 1 species
UACGUAGGGGGCGAGCGUUAUCCGGAAUUAUUGGGCCUAAAGCAUCCGUAGCCGGUUCUACAAGUCUUCCGUUAAAUCCACCUGCUUAACAGAUGGGCUGCGGAAGAUACUAUGGAGCUAGGAGGCGGGAGAGGCAAGCGGUACUCGAUGGGUAGGGGUAAAAUCCGUUGAUCCAUUGAAGACCACCAGUGGCGAAGGCGGCUUGCCAGAACGCGCUCGACGGUGAGGGAUGAAAGCUGGGGGAGCAAACCGG